ensembl:lncRNA LINC01491 long intergenic non-protein coding RNA 1491
AGGCCUGUGACCACAGAAAAAGUAGCCAGCCCACCAUCCCUAGAUGAUUUUGCAGUCUUUGCACACCAGUGUGGCCAUAGGCUUGUUUUCUCCUGGACUGAGCCUGCAGAUCCUAUGAGCAAGCAUAUGUCCUGUGCUCCACUAGUCCUAGCUGGAUCGUGGACAUAUUACCAUCAUUACAAAUAUCAAUAGUUUGUGAUUACUUCAAACAAUCUGAAGUUGAAGGACCCCAGAUAUCCUUCAAAACAGGAAUCUGCAGGCAGAUGCUGAAACCAUGAAUACAGAGGGACAACUAUGUAAGCUCGUUAACGCUGACAUAGUUUUAUGAAUGCAAACAGCCAAGGAGAGCAGAUGUUGAGUGGUUGCCAGAGUGAAAUGAGGAAGCCCUGCUGCCAGCUUCCCACCAAAAAGCAGGCUCCGGCCCUGAACGCAGGAGAGUUGCUAAAGAAGUUGCUCACAGAGGCGGGAGAGAGCAGGCUACUGGUUUCCUUCAAAAUGGAAUAGGAAACAGAAAACGUGCAUCAUUUCUUCGCACUUGAAUCAGCAACAUGACACAGGACUUUGGCAUCAGGGGCUCUGACCUCCAGUGUCAGCCUUCCAAGGAGAGAAUGGUAGUGUAAUCAUGACUGGAGAGCAACUGUUCCAGAUAAGAAUAUUUUGGCAGAUUUUAAAAGCAACUAUUACUGGUGUUGAUUGACUUAAAAAUAUUUUAAAAAUAUAACAUGUUAUAAACCUCUUCAAUAUCAAGAGGCAGGAUAUAA